rnacentral:lncRNA from 1 species
CACAUGUGUGUGUGUGUGUGUGUCCUGUGUUGGCACAAGUGUGUUCCAUACCCACAUUUGCGUAUGUGUGUGUGUGUGCGCGCGCGCGUGUGUAUCUGUGCCUUCCAGGGCAGGUAGGAAGGACCGGAGGGAAGAAGAGGAGAAUCAAGAAGAAAAGCAGAAAAGCAUGGGGAAAAGGAGGACUGAGGUAUUCGGUUACAUGAUCUAAAUUCUAAUCAAACAUCAUUUAAAGCGUGUUUUAUUUCAGCCUCCGGAGAGCCGGUCCCUCCUGGCUGCUCACCAUGGCAACGGGCCGCUCAUUUCAGAAGUGUCAUGCCACAUUAUCGUCCUGCCGCCUCACGCGCUCUCGCCGCCUGACAACUUCGCUCUGCCCCUUGCGACAACCAUUCCCGCUCCGCUGGUUUAUUUUUGGUGUCAGGCAGCCCCCCUUCCCCGCCCCCUCCCCAUCACCAGUGGAUUGAAAGACAACCUCAGCCCUCCAGCCGGUGAGCAUCACAGCCUGUUUGGUGAUAAGAGAUAAUUUGAGAAGAUAUUUGCUUACAUGUGUAUGAACAAUCUGCUGCAUGAAGCCCAUUCCACCCGGUACGUGAGAACGGGGAGAGAGAGGGUGACCAGGGCUACUGGCAACACCCCAGGAAAGUAGAGGGAAGAGCAGUCCUCACUUCUGAGGGUCCCUCCCGUAUUGCAGGGAGCCCCACAAGGUUUGGAACUGGCCGUCUUGCCCAGCAUCAUUGGGAGACAGCAGGCCCGCCGCUAACUUGCUGUGUGACCUCGUGUGAGUCGCAUCCCUUCUCUGCGCCUUCCCUCCCUCAUCUAUCAAAAGAUGGAGUUAGACCGAGUGGACCAGUGGGGAUCCCUGCCAAAUGCCGCAUUAGGUGAAUGAAAGAUUCUAAGAGAGGCGGGCAGCAGAGGCCUGGAGACCCAGAAUGAGGGCUGUCCCCUGGUCUUGUCACCUUUAUGAAGAUCGAAGAAAGGAAAAGAAAUUAUCACGAGGCAGCCCACCUCUGUCCAUUCCCAAGGACCUAACCCAAAAGCUGGAGGCCCAGACGUACCAGGAGCUUCCUGGAGGGUUUCGUCCUGGAAGGAGCUGCAAAAGCCCCCAGCCUAGGCAAGGAAGGUGUUCAUCGUGCCAUUUUCAGUUUGGGUCCCCCUGCCCCGCUAUGUGCCUGGACUCCACUGUACGUGAAUGUUUUUAAUCCAGCAGCUCCCUUGUGACCACCACUCAUAAAGCAUCACUUGUGUAUGUGUUAAAGUGCUAAUUUGCCGAAGGUAAACAUGGAAUCCAUCCCGCAAGCCUACUCUGCUGUUUCCUCUUUAUUAGCCUGCUCUCUUCUGGCACGCCACACCCC